UGCUGGGGCUGCAGGUGCCUCUCCCCACCUCUCCCCUGCCAGGCUGCCUUUGAUCUCCAGCCUGUUUUGGCUCCACUGUCAACAGAGAGACCUGCUGGCAUGUUCUUUCCCUUCACCUUCAGGCCUCGAGCCUGGUUGGUCGAAAGACAUGGAAUUUCCACACCCUCACAGGUUGUGCAACUACCCUGCAGACACAUUUUACAUUUAAUUAUUGUUAUCAUUACUUUCAGCAGAGUGAACACUUGUAGAUUUAUUAGGUUUUUCGAUGGCCCACCCAUCUGAGUCAGUGACCUUUAGCAAUUGUGAUGGGAGAGAAAGGGAUGAGCUACAGAGUGGCUGGAUGACCAGGCUGAAAGCCGUCAUUCCUGGGCCUCUGUUUGGAGAAGCCUUCUUUGGAAGAAGCUGGGAGCCUGCUGGAAUUUGAACCCACAUCUAAGAGAUCUCAGUUCCCGGAUGGAUUUGUUCCAACCUGGUCUGCCCGCCUCUCUGUGGAAUAUCUCUCUGCUCUCUCUGCCUUUUGAAAUUAUUUCUCCAGGCUGGAUUUGGCUGCCUCUGCCACCAACAGGGGAAUGAGACGCUGUGAGUUUUAUACACAGGGCAUGGACAGAGGCUGCCACGAAAUGCUGAGUGAGGGGGUUUCACUCCAGUUGGGUGACUCCAGAUGCUUGCCUGUUUGGGUGGGUCCCAGCAAGACUCAUCUUGACCAGCAGCUCACCCUUGAGUCACCACCAGGAAGCCCGGGAUGGAUGUGAUGUCAUCAGUAAACACAGCCAGUCAUGGAUAAUGGGGGUGGCUCUGUUUGCCUUGGAGAUAAACCCCAUCACCCCAGCUGGGCUUCUGUGGGCGAGGCGGAGGAUGCCAAGCCCCGGGUGUCAACUUGGUGUGAUGACAUGUCUGUGGAGGGACCCCAGCAUCUCAGGGUGGGAGACAUCCUCGGGGGGCGUCCUGUCACGUUGCUCAGGAAUCUAGAGGUGGGAAGUUGCAUCCUUGGCUGUGUGGGGAAAGAACACCCAGGAGCAGCCAGGCCUGUUUCACCUGAUUCACUGCUCUGAAGCUGAGCUCUAGUCUCCCCUGGCGUCACUGUUUUCCUUUGAAGUCCAACCAGAGAAUCCCAUAAUCCCUCGUUCCUGUCCAUAUGGGCCUCAGCUCAAAGAUGGUGGCCCCUUGAGGGCAGGGUGGGUUCCCAGCCCAGUGCCCACCUCCAUCACGGCAGAGAAACGUGCGUGAGCCAGUCUUCUCCCCCGGGGUUGAAGGAGUCACAGUUGGCACUGGAGUUUGCCGUUUUCCUCAGGGCCAUGGAAUUCUUGGUGAUGACCUGCUUCUGGACCCCAGGUCCUCGUGCCGCCCGGCCCCUGGCUGAUGUGGCCAGUGCCCCUGGGUCAGCUCCGGGGCUCUCCUCGGGGCCAGACUGGUGAGAUACAGAACUGCCCUGUGAGCCCUCCUGGAGCCCGAGGCGGAUGGAAAGAUCCGGAGAACAGAUUCUGUCUUUAUUUGAGGAUUUGCUAAUUUGUUCAUCAUAGAUUUUUUUUUUUUUUGCAAUAAUUUUGAUUUUCUAAAAUGCUGCAUUAAGGUAUCUCGAUCACCGACUCACUUGGCGCUCCCUUCAGGUUGAUGCCAAGUCAGCUGCCUCCUUUGCCUCACUCGUCCAGUCCUGUUCUUCCUGCAUGAUCUCCCAUUGCUGCCCAUGAGUCAGAGAGAUAGAGGAGAUGAUUGCCCCAGGCUGCCCAGUCCUGGAGUUUCAGCCUGCCCUGCAGGGAAAGUCAAAAGGCCUUUCUCUACGAUGUGCAUAGAUGAACCUUCUUAUGUAUUCUUGCCUGGAAAAUCCCACGGACAGAGGAGACAGGUGGGCUUCAGUCCAUGGGGUCGCAAAGAGCACAACUCUUUGCAUGACAUCAAACCUUCCUGAGCGCCAGCUGGCUCCUGGGAUCCAGGAGGGCCAGGUGUGUGCCAGCAGCCCUUACUGCCCACUCUGUCCACUAGAUGGCGCACUGACCGCGCGGGUGAGCAUGGUGCCCCCUCCACCCCUCCUCCCAGGGCCCAGCUUUUCUGAAUUGCUGGCCAGUGUGGAGACCACCUGUUCAGCUGAUCCCCACUGCAGGCCCAAAGCACAGAGGAGACUGAGGCUCAGAGAGGUGAGGUGACCCACCUGCUGCCCUUAACAUACUAACAUUGGCCCUGGGGUCUGGCUUUGUACCCGACAUACCCCAAAUCCCUUCUUUCUGGGCCACCUGUUCUUGGUCUGUGUUAAAGGCACCUUUGCCAACCUGGUGAAAGCCAUAGGACCCUUCCUUGGAAAAAAAAUUGAAAAGAAUUUCAUGGGCUUCCAGAACAGGGCCAGGCAUAGAUUAAGAACUCUUUUCCUGCAUGUUUGCAGUAUAUGCAUGCGAUGUGGGAUUUAUAGUUAUACACUUUGUUUCAGAUAGCAUCUAACCAUGUAAUCCAUCCAUUGCUUCGAGAAAUAUUCAUUAAGCACCUACUACGUGAAAACCACUGUUCCAGGUGCUAGAGAUACUUUGUGAAGCUGACGUCCUGGGGUGGGAGGCGGGGUGGUGUGGAACAAAUGAUAAAAAGAGGCAAAGUCGUAGUGGUUAUUAGUGCUGUAAAUAAAUCACCCCAACCUUUUUGGCACCAGGGACCGGUUUUGUGGAAGGCAAUUUUUCCACGGACAGAGGGGGAGGUUUGGGGAUGAUUCAAGGGCCUUAUACUUACUGUGCACUUUAUUUCUGUUACUGUUACAUCAACUCCAUCUCAGCUCAUCAGGCGUUAGGUCCUGGAGGCCGGGGAGCCCUGCUCUAAAUGGUCCUAGUUCUCUGUCUUCUGGGCACACGGUAAGAUUCUGCUCCCUGGUCUUGUGGUUGGGUGAGACCACGCGGCUGGUUUGCCAGUGAAUUGCGAGACGUGAUGUUACUUCCGGGCCAGAGCAUUUAGUUGUUGAUGUGAGACCCCUCUCCCUAACCCGCCCCCAGAGCUUUCCCUCCCCUCUGAUGUGGAAACUGGACACAUUGCAGAUGGAGGUUGUGUAGUCAGCCUAGGUCCCUGAGACUCUAGAGCAGGACAGACAAGAUUUGUUUCUUUAAGUCACUGAAAUUUUGAGGGUCUUUGUUACUGUAACAUAACCCAGUCUAUUUUGAUUGAUACAAUAAUAAGUAUGUAAAUUACAUGAUGAAAUUAUAAAGAUUGCCAGGAGAUUAGAACCACAGGGAAAAGAAACUGCUGAGCAUGAUAAGUUGUAUUGCAAGGGGAAGGCAAGUGAACUUUAUUUUUUAAAUCAAUUAAUUGAGGGGGGGCCUGUGCUGCACAGCAUGUGCGAUCUUAGUUCCAUAACAAGUGAUUAAACCUGAACCCUUAAAAAAAAACCCUGAACCCCUGACGUAGAAACGCGGAUUCUUAACCACUAGGCUACCAGGGAAGUCCCCUGCGCCCCCCUUUUAAGCGGAACUUAAAAUAGGGCAAUCAAGUUAGGAGGCUUCAUUGAGAAAGAGAUCUUUGAAAAGGAAGUGAACCUUGCAGGUGUCUGGGAAGAAAAAAUGUGUCCCAGGCUGUUCCUGGGACAGCCAGGGGGAACAGCCAGGGUAAAGGCUGGAGCUGUUUGGUGGUUUGAGAAACAGCAAAGGAUCAUAUGAUUGGAGAAAAGUGUGGGGUGGGGUCCGAGAAGUACCAGGGCCUUCUUAGGGGGAGCCUUAUGGCCAUGAAGGACUUUGCCAUGUUCUUUGAGUGAAAGAGGGAGCCAUCACAGGGGCUUGAGCCCACAACCAUCAUGAUAGAAUGGACGAUUUCAAGGGGUCCAGCCUGGCAUCUGUGCCGAGACUGAAUGGGGAGGAGUCCUGCGGGGCAGGAUGGAGGGUGCCUAUGAAGGGGCUAUGCAUUUUUCAGGUGACAUCUGUUGGUGGCUCACGUGGGGUGGCGAGAGCAGAGGUGGCGAGAAGUGGUCAGAUGGUCAGAUCCUGGAUAUGUUUUGAAGACGGAACUGUGAGAUUUCCUGAUGCACAGCAUGAGGGGUCGGAUGGAGGGCUUUUGGCCUCAGCAAAUAGGAGGAUGGGAUGGCUAUCGGCUGAGGGAGGGAGGUACUGAUGGGGCACUCCAGGGGAAGAUCAGGACCUGGGUCCAUGCUGAGUUUCAGAUGUCUAUUAGAAAAGUCAGAAAGCAGGAAGGGAGAGAAACAGAAAGGAUGAAGUGGCGAUGGGGAAGCAGGAGUGGGAGGGAGAGAAGAUACACCAGUAAGGAAAUAUUACUCGACCCCUAUCUUAAAUUCACUUGGAUUUUUUCUUCAGCGUGCUAAGUCGCUUCAGUCGUGUCUGACUCUUUGCAACCCUAUGGACUAUAGCCCGCCAGGCUCCUCUGUCCGUGGGAUUCUCCGGGCAAGAAUGCUGGAGUGGGUUGCUGCGCCCUCCUCCAGGGGAUCUUCCUGACCCAGGGAUCAAACCCGCAUCUCAUGUCUCUUGCAUUGACAGGAGACACGGGUUCCAUCCCUGGUCCGGGAAGAUUCCACGUGCCACGGGGCAACUGAGCCCAUGUACCACAACUACUGAGCCCUUGUGCCUACAGCCUGUGCUCUGCAACGAGAGAAGCCACCGCCAUGAGAAGCCCAUGCGCCACAACGAAGGGUAACCCUGCUCUCUGCGGCUAGACAAAGCUUUGCGCAGCCCCAAAUAAAUUAAUUAAUAAAUGAUCUUAAAAAAAGAAAGCCAGCUGGGAUGAGUACACCCCGCUCCAGUGCGGUCACCACCCAUAUCUAAUCCCUCUCCGGGUCUCCCUGUUAUGCAGCUCACCCACUGGGGCCAGCUGUAGGAAUGAC
ensembl:lncRNA